GAUGAACGCUGGCGGCGUGCUUAACACAUGCAAGUCGAACGGGAAACCUUUUAUUGAAGCUUCGGCAGAUUUAGCUGGUUUCUAGUGGCGGACGGGUGAGUAACGCGUGGGUAACCUGCCUUAUACAGGGGGAUAACAACCAGAAAUGGUUGCUAAUACCGCAUAAGCGCACAGGACCGCAUGGUCCGGUGUGAAAAACUCCGGUGGUAUAAGAUGGACCCGCGUUGGAUUAGCUAGUUGGCAGGGUAACGGCCUACCAAGGCGACGAUCCAUAGCCGGCCUGAGAGGGUGAACGGCCACAUUGGGACUGAGACACGGCCCAGACUCCUACGGGUGGCAGCAGUGGGGAAUAUUGCACAAUGGGGGAAACCCUGAUGCAGCGACGCCGCGUGAAGGAAGAAGUAUCUCGGUAUGUAAACUUCUAUCAGCAGGGAAGAUAGUGACGGUACCUGACUAAGAAGCCCCGGCUAACUACGUG
rnacentral:rRNA from 1 species